UACGGGGGGAGCAAGCGUUGUUCGGAUUUACUGGGCGUAAAGGGCGCGUAGGCGGUCAGCACAAGUCAGUUGUGAAAUCUCCGGGCUUAACUCGGAAAGGUCAACUGAUACUGUGCGACUAGAGUGCGGAAGGGGCAACUGGAAUUCUCGGUGUAGCGGUGAAAUGCGUAGAUAUCAGGAAGAACACCAGUGGCGAAGGCGGUUCUCUGGGCGUAACUGACGCUGAGGACGAGAACUGGGGAGCGAACAGG
rnacentral:rRNA from 1 species